rnacentral:rRNA from 1 species
AUUGAACGCUGGCGGCAGGCCUAACACAUGCAAGUCGAGCGAGCGGCGGACGGGUGAGUAAUGUAUGGGGACUGCCCGAUCGAGGGGGAUAACUACUGGAAACGGUGGCUAAUACCGCAUACUAUCGGAUAACCCAUAUGGGAUUAGCUAGUAGGUGGGGUAAAGGCUCACCUAGGCGACGAUCUCUAGCUGGUCGGAGAGGAUGAUCAGCCAAACGGGGACUGGGACAAGGCCCAGACUCCUACGGAGGCAGCAGUGGGGAAUAUUGCACAAGGGGCGAAAGCCUGAGACAGACAUGCCGCGUGUAGGAAGAGGGCCUUAGGGUUGUAAAGUACUUUCAGCGGGGAGGCGUUACCCGCAGAAGAAGCACCGGCUAACUCCGUGCCAGCAGCCGCGGUAAUUC